AGCGAACGCUGGCGGCAGGCUUAACACAUGCAAGUCGAACGGGCGUAGCAAUACGUCAGUGGCAGACGGGUGAGUAACGCGUGGGAACGUACCUUUUGGUUCGGAACAACCCAGGGAAACUUGGGCUAAUACCGGAUAAGCCCUUACGGGGAAAGAUUUAUCGCCGAAAGAUCGGCCCGCGUCUGAUUAGCUAGUUGGUGUGGUAACGGCGCACCAAGGCGACGAUCAGUAGCUGGUCUGAGAGGAUGAUCAGCCACAUUGGGACUGAGACACGGCCCAAACUCCUACGGGAGGCAGCAGUGGGAAUAUUGGACAAUGGGCGCAAGCCUGAUCCAGCCAUGCCGCGUGAGUGAUGAAGGCCCUAGGGUUGUAAAGCUCUUUUGUGCGGGAAGAUAAUGACGGUA
rnacentral:rRNA from 1 species